rnacentral:rRNA from 1 species
UGAGACACGGACCAAACUCCUACGGGAGGCAGCAGUGAGGAAUAUUGGUCAAUGGCCGAGAGGCUGAACCAGCCAAGUCGCGUGAAGGAAGAAGGAUCUAUGGUUUGUAAACUUCUUUUAUAGGGGAAUAAAGUGGAGGACGUGUCCUUUUUUGUAUGUACCCUAUGAAUAAGCAUCGGCUAACUCCGUGCCAGCAGCCGCGGUAAUACGGAGGAUGCGAGCGUUAUCCGGAUUUAUUGGGUUUAAAGGGUGCGUAGGUGGUGAUUUAAGUCAGCGGUGAAAGUUUGUGGCUCAACCAUAAAAUUGCCGUUGAAACUGGGUUACUUGAGUGUGUUUGAGGUAGGCGGAAUGCGUGGUGUAGCGGUGAAAUGCAUAGAUAUCACGCAGAACUCCGAUUGCGAAGGCAGCUUACUAAACCAUAACUGACACUGAAGCACGAAAGCGUGGGGAUCAAACAGGAUUAGAUACCCUGGUAGUCCACGCAGUAAACGAUGAUUACUAGGAGUUUGCGAUACAAUGUAAGCUCUACAGCGAAAGCGUUAAGUAAUCCACCUGGGGAGUACGCCGGCAACGGUGAAACUCAAAGGAAUUGACGGGGGCCCGCACAAGCGGAGGAACAUGUGGUUUAAUUCGAUGAUACGCGAGGAACCUUACCCGGGUUUGAACGUAGUCUGACCGGAGUGGAAACACUCUUUCUAGCAAUAGCAGAUUACGAGGUGCUGCAUGGUUGUCGUCAGCUCGUGCCGUGAGGUGUCGGCUUAAGUGCCAUAACGAGCGCAACCCUUAUCACUAGUUACUAACAGGUGAAGCUGAGGACUCUGGUGAGACUGCCAGCGUAAGCUGUGAGGAAGGUGGGGAUGACGUCAAAUCAGCACGGCCCUUACAUCCGGGGCGACACACGUGUUACAAUGGCAUGGACAAAGGGCAGCUACCUGGUGACAGGAUGCUAAUCUCCAAACCAUGUCUCAGUUCGGAUCGGAGUCUGCAACUCGACUCCGUGAAGCUGGAUUCGCUAGUAAUCGCGCAUCAGCCAUGGCGCGGUGAAUACGUUCCCGGGCCUUGUACACACCGCCCGUCAAGCCAUGGGAGCCGGGGGUACCUGAAGUGCGUAACCGCGAGGAUCGCCCUAGGGUAAAACUGGUGACUGGGGCUAAGUCGUAACAAGGUAGCCGUACCGGAAGGUGCGGCUG